CACAAGGGUGAAGAGGAAGCAGAAGAAGAGGUGUCAGUGGGUGAAGCCUUUCUUGCAAAGAAGAUUGAUGCUUGGACAGUAUGAUAACCUGAUGAAUGUACUGCAAGAGGAGGAUUUGUCUGCAUUUAAAAACUUUCUACAAAUCACCCCUGAGCUAUGAUUAAACCCAGC